CUGCUGAUUGCCACCCGGUUGAACAUCUUGUCUCUCGUCCUCGGAAGCGCUACGCCGGGACUCAGCCUCGCAAUACACGGAUUGCUCGAGCUGUUGUCUCCUGAAAAACGAUAAUCACCCGUUCGCGCAUCGAAGAAUGGUCGAGAGAUUAACGUCGAGGAGCAGAUGGGCCGGACGCGAUCGACUAGACAUUCUGGAAAAAAGUCGUGAAGAUCGCCUAAUUCGACGCCCCCUCCUACGAGGAUCCUUCGAAACAACCAUCUGGCAGCAGCUGGUGCUGCUGCUGCUGCUUACUUGCCCCCCUCGGCCAUCACGCACGAUCUAAUUUUCUUUUCGUUUAUCUCGGAUUAACAUUUCGUCCAAAUAUAUGGAUAUCUGUAUGGAUAGUCGUAGAAAUAUAUAACGAGAUGUUGGUUCAAAACGAGCAAACAAUUUCGAAAGAAGUUAA